ACGGCGUUGAAAUGUUGUGAAGAUUUCACACGUCGAGCACGCGCGUGAAGACGUUCGCGCGGGUCCGCGAGGUCAUCUCGCGCUUCCCUUCCCGUUGUCAGAGCACGAGCUGUCACUUGGCGCGGCCGCUGUUUGUACAGGUGUUUCUCUAAAGAAAACAACGGCAAGACGCUUCCAGUUCAAACAGACAUUGCGCUCUCGAAAAAGACGCGAGGAAAGAAUAAUAUAUGGUGGAAAAUAACGUGAACAGACGGCCUGAAGGUUUGACAGACGAGCGGAGAGUCGGCGGGGAGUUUUUUCCGCGCGCGGCCUCCGAGUGAUGGCGUGACUAAUGUGUCGAGGAGAGACACGAUUACCGAGAGAUUCAAACGCACAUUUCACAAAUGGUGAUGACAGUAAGAAACCCCACACAGGCCGAGUCGGAAGGAGGGCGUGGAGCUGCUGCCAAGCAUUCCCGAGCCAGCAGAGCUGUGACGGGCGGAUUACCCAACACCACCCUGGUCACUAAAUAAUAAAAUUCAUCCCGGGCAGUCACAGCUGAACUCUUGGUCUGCAGUAAGUCAGAUUUAAAUAGAUUUGUGGUAAAUUUGAGUCAAAGACGAGUGUGGAAAGAGACUGUGAUGAAUCCGGCUGAUUUGUUUCUGUGUAAAGCAUUACGGCGGUUGAACAUACAUGAAUCCAGACAUUCCUCAGUAAUGUGCUGCUGCUGCUAUAUUAAACCAUAUAGUGUCUAUAUGUGUUUUUCCGCACUGUAAAAAAAGCAGAAUAAAGUUAAAUCAAAUUGGUUUUGCAAGUCAAUUCAACCUACUAUUUUAAGUUUUGACCUGUGAUAAGCUGACCUAACUUAGAAAAACAAGUUGAAAUUGUUUAACUUAAUUUGUGAAGUUAAAGUAACAUAAAACUAUAUAUGUUUGAUUUGACAAAAAUUGUGCAUUUUUUACAGUGCACAAAAUUAGGAGUGAGCAAACCGCUGCAUUUCAUUUUAUUUGAUGUGUGUUAGCAACUUGAAAGUCUGAUUCAAGUUAGAGACUUGUUUUCAGGAAAUUAAAGUCAACGUGUAUUCCAAAUUGGCCCUAUUUGACUUUAAAGUCUGUCAUCAGAUCUGGGGCACCAUUCACUUCCAUAUUAUUAUUUUUCCUACUAUAAAAGUCAAAUAUAUUCUUUAAAAUAUAUUUUGAGAUUUAUGCAGGUGGAACAACUUUGAGUUAAUGAUGACAGAAUUUUCAUUUUUGGGUGAACUAUUCCUUUAACCUCCUAAGACCAGAGCUUUGGUUUGGCUUGCAUUUUAGAUUUCUUCCAGCUUUUUGGGGUUAGGAAGAACCAAUAAAUAUAAUAACCAAAUAUUUUUCUUUGAACAUGAAGCAAUGUAAUUGUCCACGUAUGUGUACAACAGGUUCCAGUUACACAGCAUUAAGUAUUAUGGUGCAAACAACAAAAAGUAUGAUGUCCACGUAUGUGGACACACCAGGUCUUCUUAGGAGGUUAAAUAAUUUGCCUCAUCAUUGAUAUUAAUGUUGCUUUGAUGAUUUUAAUGUUUAUGUUGUUUUGAUGAUUGAUGCUGAUGUGCAUUUCAAAUAAUGUUAUAAGUAUUAUUAUUUGCUUUAAAUUUUGUGCAUUACCCUAUAGUGUGUGUGUGUGUGUGUGUGUGUGUGUGUGUGUGUGUGUGUGUGUGUGUGUGUGUGUGUGUGUGUGUGUGUGUGUGUGUGUGUGUGUGUGUGUGUGUCUGUGUGUGUGUGACAGAUGAGUUUAUAAUGGUCAGAUGAGGGUACACAUCUGUGUUACAGAGAUGCUGUAACUGAAUGUGACCGCAGGCUGACUGUCAUUAAUAACACGCACACACCUCCAGUAUAACACAGAUGGGUAGAUUACAGCACAUUAAUCUCUCUUUGAGAGAGAGAGAGAGAGAGAGAGAGAGAGAGAGAGAGAGAGAGAGAGAGAGAGAGAAGGGCUUUCAGUAUCAUCACUCAUGGAUCUUUGACUCUUUGUCUCCAUCUCUCAUUGUUUUGUCUGUUAUUGAUACAGAGAUACUCAAGUGCCUCUCAAUGCUAAUGCUCCCUCUGGACAGCAGCCAAUCGGAACGCCACUUCAAACACCCGCCCAAUAAAAACACUUUUGGUUCAAAACAGUUUAGAAGUUUUGAUGUCAUUGCGUUUAGAUUACAAAAUGUUCUUACAGUUUUUAUAAUGGCUGUUUAUGAAUCUAAUAUCAGUAGUGUGUUUGAGAAUAACUAUUCGCAACGGAUCCGCUCCGAAGUCGGCGGAUCCGCCCCGGAGUUUAUUGCUAUCAUAGUUGUAGAAAGUUGUAAUUACAUUUAUUAAUGAAAAUAUAUCAUAUGAUUUUAUGACGCAGUACACACACA